rnacentral:rRNA from 1 species
UACGAAGGGGGCUAGCGUUGUUCGGAAUCACUGGGCGUAAAGCGCCCGCAGGCGGAUCGUUAAGUCAGGGGUGAAAUGCCAAGGCUCAACCUUGGAACUGCCUCUGAUACUGGCGAUCUUCGAGUCCGGGAGAGGUGAGUGGAACUCCGAGUGUAGAGGUGAAAUUCGUAGAUAUUCGGAAGAACACCAGUGGCGAAGGCGGCUCACUGGCCCGGUACUGACGCUCAGGUGCGAAAGCGUGGGGAGCAAACAGG